rnacentral:antisense_RNA from 1 species
ACCUCAAUUCAUCAGGAGAGACCUAGUGUGGGUGUAGGGGUGCCUGAGGAGAAAGGGGUGCUGGUUCUUCCUUAUAUCAUAUCCCCUGCCUGCCUCAGCUGGGCUCUGACCCAGCCAGCAGACUGGAGUCCUCUUCUGCAUGAUAAGGAAACUGAGGCUUAGAGGAGUUAUGAAACUGCCCAAGGUUUCACAGCUGAAAUGUAUAAGGACCUGGACUUGCAAAUUUGGCACAAAGUUCUUCUAAUAAGAGGCCAUAAAAUAACCAAAUGAUUUUUUAUGUGCCUAUAGAACCAAAAGAACUAUUUCAGAAUGUCAGCUGAAAAGCACGAUAUUCCAGGUAGCUUAGAAACCUUGGCAUAGUGCCUUCCUGGAAAUCCUGGAUUGCAUCUAAAACCAUGUGGCAGAGGGAGAAACCACAGACAGGCCAUCCUGAGAAGACUCAGGCUGAGAUGAAAGCUCUGCUCUCCAGGGACAAAGCAGCAGGGGACCAGCCAUGCUCAGAGAUACUCCACUGGCCAGUGCACAUUUUUUUGAGCAAUUUCACUUGCUUCCACACCACCUGCCCCCCUAACACUUCU